CGAUAGACUGAGCUUGAGGCAUUGCUGCAACUAGCUCUAUAUGCUGGUGUCUUCAUGGGACUACCUAGAGUUUAAGAUGAUUUACUGAAACAAUGGCUACUGCAACUGGCUAUCCAGAAUGUGCAAUUCCCAACUAGUGGUUAAAUUAUCUUAGCAGAGAGGACACAGUGUUGGCUAAUUUGCCGAAGAAUGGUAUAAUGACAACUUUGUUGAGUUUGUUGUAUGGUGCAAAAGUUACACACAUACAGUAUUGUUAUCAUUUACUCCUACAAUCCAUGGCAUGUCAUGUUGUGUGCUGGAAAUUGGAGACCCUGCAAAGAACAAAGAUGUGAGUCUUCUCUGUCAUACAAGCUCUUUUAUUUGUUCCACCAGCCAUACUGCUUAAUUAAGACAUUGACUAGCUGUAGGAUGUAAUAGUUGAGAUCAGCAAUGAUGCAAGCCGAGCUUCAUCAAAGCUUUCCACACAAAGCCAAGCUAAGGAGCUUGAGGGCCUUCAAGGCUUAUGCGUGAGGAUGGAGAAUUGGGAGCGAUCUUUGGGGGCAUUUUAGGGAUUCAACCUACUUGAAGACAAAGAAGCUCAAGUAGUUGAAGGAGAGAAGCAUGGGAUCGGAUAAGAGAGGGUCAAGGGUGGAAUAGAGAAGAAGAUGACUAUUUAUGCAAAGAUGCUAUUCAUUAAAUAGAAGCCAUCAUCCACAAGGAAGACCAAGAAAGACCCUUAUUUCAUUAAGGGUAUUUUUGUAAUAACAUUAGUCUUUUAGUCUUAGCCUAAAUUGGUAUAAAAGUAACCUUAUGUCAUUUUAGAGUUAGCUUUUGAUGAAUGAUGAAUAUUGUGUUGUUUUCUCUAGAGAGAGAUUUGAGAGAAGCUUGGUGAAGCUUUUUGUUGAACCUUGUUUGGAAAAGGAGGUUGCUUGGGAUUGCUUGCAAUUCCCUUGAGGUCUUCUUCAUAGGUUUAGGUGCUUGUCUAUGAUAUUCAAUUGAAGUCCAUAGUUUAAUAUACUUUGGGUUGCUUUUGA